UUAGUUCUUCUUGAGAGGAAAGUCCUUCACUGCUUGCAAUGGGGAUUCGACCAAACAGGACCGGGCCUUGCAACAGUCUCAGAGUUGUUGCUUGGACAGCCUACAUGUCACAUGACCUACAAGACGCAGCGCGAUGACGUAGUUGGAGAGACCGGAAGAAGCGUGCACUGUCGUGUGAAUAGACCGUCAUAGCCUCUGAGCGCUUUGGCAAGUCCUGCUAUGCUGUCCUGUGAUCCCAGACCUCUGGAUGCCUAGACACCAGCCCAGCGCUCUUGCUUCCUACUGAGGUCCAGUGCAGUCGUGCCUAGUGUGUGUGUCCAGAGUGUUGGAGGCCUCAAAGUCAAGUCCUGCAUCCACCAUCAAUUCAAGUAAGCUAAAGUCACAGUUUUAUGAGUCAAGUCAGUCCCUGUCAUCUGUCAAGUCAGCGUGGUCUGCAUUCAAUUAUCCAGUCCAACUACAAGUC